AUCUGACAAUCACCUAGACCUACUCAGAGUACAUACUUCUUUAUGUACCCAUAUGAACAUAUAAUGCUAUGGAAUGUAAAGAAGUAUGUAUUUUUGGUAGGUAAUAAAUCACCAAGAGGGA
rnacentral:precursor_RNA from 12 species